rnacentral:sRNA from 1 species
UGAACCAGCCGGGCGGCGCGGCGGCUCCGCAGGCUGACGGAGCCAGUGCAGCCGGAAGGAAAAGCACUGCGAGCAGGGAGCGCUUGAAGCGCAGCCAGAAGAGCACCAAGGUGGAGGGCCCAGAGCCAGUGCCAGCCGAGGCCUCGCUGAGUGCCGAGCAAGGAACGAUGACGGAGGUGAAGGUGAAGACGGAGCUGCCCGAUGACUACAUCCAGGAGGUGAUCUGGCAGGGCGAGGCCAAGGAGGAGAAGAAGGCGGUCAGCAAGGAUGGGACCAGCGACGUGCCUGCCGAGAUCUGCGUGGUGAUCGGCGGCGUCCGCAACCAGCAGACCCUUGGGUCUUAUGAAUGUGGAAUCUGUGGCAAGAAGUACAAGUAUUACAACUGCUUCCAGACCCACGUGCGGGCGCACCGAGACACCGAAGCCACCUCAGGGGAGGGAGCCUCCCAAAGCAACAAUUUCAGGUACACGUGUGACAUCUGUGGGAAGAAGUACAAAUACUACAGCUGUUUCCAAGAGCACCGAGACCUGCACGCAGUGGAUGUGUUUAGUGUGGAAGGGGCCCCUGAGAACCGGGCAGACCCCUUCGACCAAGGUGUCGUGGCCACUGACGAGGUGAAGGAGGAGCCCCCGGAGCCAUUCCAGAAAAUCGGGCCAAUGAACAAUAUUACAUCAGACAUUUUUAAGAAGAAAGAAGUUAGGCAGUGCCAAAAGAGAGAAACUGGCAAUUACACCUGUGAAUUCUGCGGCAAACAGUACAAGUACUACACUCCCUACCAGGAGCAUGUGGCCUUACACGCCCCCAUCAGUACUGCCCCCGGGUGGGAGCCACCGGAUGAUCCAGACACGGGCUCUGAGUGUUCACAUCCAGAGGUCUCCCCGUCUCCACGCUUCGUGGCAGCGAAGACCCAGACGAACCAGUCGGGGAAAAAAGCUCCGGCCUCCGUGGUCCGAUGCGCCACCCUCUUACACCGCACCCCUCCAGCCACCCAAACCCAGACGUUCCGCACUCCAAAUUCGGGAUCUCCGGCGAGCAAGGCAACCGCAGCCAGAGGUACUUGUGGCAAGGAAAGCUAUUCAAAAUGUGCAUUAUCAGCUGAGCAAUGUAAAAGUUUGCAGCCUCAAUU